rnacentral:rRNA from 2 species
UGACGCAGCAACGCCGCGUGGGGGAAGAAGGUCUUCGGAUCGUAAAGCCCUUUUCUUCCGGACGAGGAAGGACGGUACGGGAGGAAUAAGUGUCGGCUAACUACGUGCCAGCAGCCGCGGUAAAACGUAGGACGCAAGCGUUAUCCGGAUUUAUUGGGCGUAAAGGGCGUCUAGGCGGCGUCUUAAGUUGGGCGUGAAAUCUUCCGGCUCAACCGGAAGGGUGCGUCCAAUACUNNGACGCUUGAGGGCAGCAGAGGGAGGUGGAAUUCCCGGUGUAGCGGUGGAAUGCGUAGAUAUCGGGAGGAACACCAGUGGCGAAGGCGACCUCCUGGGCUGUACCUGACGCUAAAGCGCGAAAGCGUGGGGAGCAAACGGGAUUAGAUACCCCGGUAGUCCACGCCGUAAACGAUGGAUACUAGGUGUUGGUGGUAUUGACCCCAUCAGUGCCGCAGCUAACGCAUUAAGUAUCCCGCUGG